AUUGAACGCUGGCGGCAUGCCUAACACAUGCAAGUCGAACGGAGGGCUUCGGCCCUCAGUGGCGGACGGGUGAGUAACGCGUAGGGAUCUGCCCCGCAGUGGGGGACAACCUGGGGAAACUCAGGCUAAUACCGCAUACGCUCCAUGGAGGAAAGCGGGGGACCUUCGGGCCUCGCGCUGCGGGAUGAACCUACGUCCGAUUAGCUAGUUGGUGGGGUAAGGGCCCACCAAGGCGACGAUCGGUAGCUGGUCUGAGAGGACGGCCAGCCACACUGGGACUGAGACACGGCCCAGACUCCUAGCGGGAGGCAGCAGUGGGGAAUAUUGGACAAUGGGCGCAACCUGAUCCAGCAAUGCCGCGUGGGUGAAGA
rnacentral:rRNA from 1 species